rnacentral:rRNA from 1 species
GACGAACGCUGGCGGCGUGCUUAACACAUGCAAGUCGAACGGAAAGGCCCUGCUUGCAGGGUACUCGAGUGGCGAACGGGUGAGUAACACGUGGGUGAUCUGCCCUGCACUUCGGGAUAAGCCUGGGAAACUGGGUCUAAUACCGGAUAGGAGCCAUUUUUAGUGUGAUGGUUGGAAAGUUUUUUCGGUGUAGGAUGAGCUCGCGGCCUAUCAGCUUGUUGGUGGGGUAAUGGCCUACCAAGGCGGCGACGGGUAGCCGGCCUGAGAGGGUGGACGGCCACAUUGGGACUGAGAUACGGCCCAGACUCCUACGGGAGGCAGCAGUGGGGAAUAUUGCACAAUGGGCGCAAGCCUGAUGCAGCAACGCCGCGUGGGGGAUGACGGCCUUCGGGUUGUAAACUCCUCUCGCUAGGGACGAAGCUUUUUGUGACGGUACCUAGAUAAGAAGCACCGGCUAACUACGUG